AAAAGCCUCUAAGCAUCAGGUAACAUCAAAUCGUACCCCAAACCGACACAGGUGGUCAGGUAGAGAAUACCAAGGCGCUUGAGAGAACUCGGGUGAAGGAACUAGGCAAAAUGGUGCCGUAACUUCGGGAGAAGGCACGCUGAUAUGUAGGUGAAGUCCCUCGCGGAUGGAGCUGAAAUCAGUCGAAGAUACCAGCUGGCUGCAACUGUUUAUUAAAAACACAGCACUGUGCAAACACGAAAGUGGACGUAUACGGUGUGACGCCUGCCCGGUGCCGGAAGGUUAAUUGAUGGGGUCAGCGCAAGCGAAGCUCUUGAUCGAAGCCCCGGUAAACGGCGGCCGUAACUAUAACGGUCCUAAGGUAGCGAAAUUCCUUGUCGGGUAAGUUCCGACCUGCACGAAUGGCGUAAUGAUGGCCAGGCUGUCUCCACCCGAGACUCAGUGAAAUUGAACUCGCUGUGAAGAUGCAGUGUACCCGCGGCAAGACGGAAAGACCCCGUGAACCUUUACUAUAGCUUGACACUGAACAUUGAGCCUUGAUGUGUAGGAUAGGUGGGAGGCUUAGAAGUGUGGACGCCAGUCUGCAUGGAGCCGACCUUGAAAUACCACCCUUUAAUGUUUGAUGUUCUAACGUUGACCCGUAAUCCGGGUUGCGGACAGUGUCUGGUGGGUAGUUUGACUGGGGCGGUCUCCUCCUAAAGAGUAACGGAGGAGCACGAAGGUUGGCUAAUCCUGGUCGGACAUCAGGAGGUUAGUGCAAUGGCAUAAGCCAGCUUGACUGCGAGCGUGACGGCGCGAGCAGGUGCGAAAGCAGGUCAUAGUGAUCCGGUGGUUCUGAAUGGAAGGGCCAUCGCUCAACGGAUAAAAGGUACUCCGGGGAUAACAGGCUGAUACCGCCCAAGAGUUCAUAUCGACGGCGGUGUUUGGCACCUCGAUGUCGGCUCAUCACAUCCUGGGGCUGAAGUAGGUCCCAAGGGUAUGGCUGUUCGCCAUUUAAAGUGGUACGCGAGCUGGGUUUAGAACGUCGUGAGACAGUUCGGUCCCUAUCUGCCGUGGGCGCUGGAGAACUGAGGGGGGCUGCUCCUAGUACGAGAGGACCGGAGUGGACGCAUCACUGGUGUUCGGGUUGUCAUGCCAAUGGCACUGCCCGGUAGCUAAAUGCGGAAGAGAUAAGUGCUGAAAGCAUCUAAGCACGAAACUUGCCCCGAGAUGAGUUCUCCCUGACCCUUUAAGGGUCCUGAAGGAACGUUGAAGACGACGACGUUGAUAGGCCGGGUGUGUAAGCGCAGCGAUGCGUUGAGCUAACCGGUACUAAUGAACCGUGAGG
rnacentral:rRNA from 1 species